GCAGAGAUAGUAUAGUGGCAGUACUCCACGUUGUGGCCGUGAUGGCCCCGGUUCGAUUCCGGGUCUCUGCA
rfam:Batrachochytrium dendrobatidis JAM81 unplaced genomic scaffold BATDEscaffold_1, whole genome shotgun sequence.